rnacentral:rRNA from 1 species
AUUGAACGCUGGCGGCAGGCCUAACACACGCAAGUCGAGCGGUUGAGGUAGCUUGCUACCGAUACAGCGGCGGACGGGUGAGUAAUACAUGGGAAUCUGCCUGGUAGUGGGGGACAACGUUUCGAAAGGAACGCUAAUACCGCAUACGCCCUACGGGGGAAAGGGGGGGAUCUUCGGACCUCUCGCUAUCAGAUGAGCCCAUGUCAGAUUAGCUUGUUGGUGAGGUAAAGGCUCACCAAGGCGACGAUCUGUAACUGGUCUGAGAGGAUGAUCAGUCACACUGGAACUGAGACACGGUCCAGACUCCUACGGGAGGCAGCAGUGGGGAAUAUUGGACAAUGGGCGCAAGCCUGAUCCAGCCAUGCCGCGUGUGUGAAGAAGGCCUUAGGGUUGUAAAGCACUUUCAGUGGGGAGAAAGGCCUUUUACUUAAUACGUAAGAGGAUUGAUGUUACCCACAGAAGAAGCACCGGCUAACUCCGUGCCAGCCGCCGCAGUAA